rnacentral:rRNA from 2 species
CAUCCUCCAAGGCUAAAUACUCCUGACUGACCGAUAGUGAACCAGUACCGUGAGGGAAAGGCGAAAAGAACCCCGGCGAGGGGAGUGAAAAAGAACCUGAAACCGUGUACGUACAAGCAGUGGGAGCACAGGUUUACCUGUGUGACUGCGUACCUUUUGUAUAAUGGGUCAGCGACUUAUAUUCUGUAGCAAGGUUAACCGUAUAGGGGAGCCGGAGGGAAACCGAGUCUUAACCGGGCGUUAAGUUGCAGGGUAUAGACCCGAAACCCGGUGAUCUAGCCAUGGGCAGGUUGAAGGUUGGGUAACACUAACUGGAGGACCGAACCGACUAAUGUUGAAAAAUUAGCGGAUGACCUGUGGCUGGGGGUGAAAGGCCAAUCAAACCGGGAGAUAGCUGGUUCUCCCCGAAAGCUAUUUAGGUAGCGCCUCGUGAAUUCAUCUCCGGGGGUAGAGCACUGUUUCGGCUAGGGGGCCAUCCCGGCUUACCAACCCGAUGCAAACUGCGAAUACCGGAGAAUGU